UCCGUGCCAGCAGCCGCGGUAAAACGGAGGAUACAAGCGUUAUCCGGAUUUAUUGGGUUUAAAGGGUGCGUAGGCGGUUUUUUAAGUCAGUAGUGAAAUCUUAAAGCUUAACUUUAAAAUUGCUAUUGAUACUGAGAGACUUGAGUUAGGUUGGAGUAGCUGGAAUGUGUGGUGUAGCGGUGAAAUGCAUAGAGAUCACACAGAACACCGAUCGCGAAAGCAAGUUACUAAGCCUAUACUGACGCUGAGGCACGAAAGCGUGGGGAGCAAACAGGAUUAGAUACCCUGGUAGUCCACGCUGUAAACGAUGAAUGUUAAAUAUGGGAAGUUUACUUUCUGUAUUACAGCUAACGCGUUAAACAUUCCGCCUGGGGACUACGGUCGCAAGAUUAAAACUCAAAGGAAUUGACGGGGACCCGCACAAGCGGUGGAGCAUGUGGUUUAAUUCGAUGCAACGCGAAAAACCUUACCACUUCUUGACAUGGAAAUCAUAUCUAUUCGAAAGAAUAGGGUCGGUUCGGCCGGAUUUUACACAAGUGUUGCAUGGCUGUCGUCAGCUCGUGUCGUGAGAUGUUGGGUUAAGUCCCGCAACGAGCGCAACCCUCAUCCUUAGUUGCCAUCAGGUAAUGCUGAGCACUUUAAGGAAACUGCUAGUGAUAAGCUGGAGGAAGGUGGGGAUGAUGUCAAGUCAUCAUGGCCUUUAUGGAGUGGGCUACACACGUGCUACAAUGGUGUCUACAAUGGGUUGCAAGGUGCGCAAGCCUAAGCUAAUCCCUAAAAGACAUCUCAGUUCGGAUUGUACUCUGCAACUCGAGUACAUGAAGUUGGAAUCGCUAGUAAUCGCGGAUCAGCAUGCCGCGGUGAAUAUGUUCUCGGGUCUUGUACACACCGCCCGUCACACCAUGGAAGUGAUUUUUACCAGAAAUUAUUUGUUUAACCUUUAUUGGAGAACUAUAAUUAAGGUAGAAUUCAUGACUGGGGUGAAGUCGUAACAAGGUAGCAGUAUCGGAAGGUGCGGCUG
rnacentral:rRNA from 1 species